UACGUAGGGGGCUAGCGUUGUCCGGAAUCAUUGGGCGUAAAGAGCGUGUAGGCGGCCCGGUAAGUCCGCUGUAAAAGUCAAAGGCUCAACCUUUGAAUGUCAGUGGAUACUGCCGGGCUAGAGUCCGGAAGAGGCGAGUGGAACUCCUGGUGUAGCGGUGGAAUGCGCAGAUAUCAGGAGGAACACCAACGGCGAAGGCAGCUCGCUGGGACGGUACUGACGCUGAGACGCGAAAGCGUGGGGAGCGAACAGG
rnacentral:rRNA from 1 species